UCAUCAGCAGGCAUAGGGCCCCGAGCAGAUUCGACCACCCGAGCAGAUCUGGUACCUUCACUGUCUCUCACAUGAACAGUUAUAAAAUUUAGCCCAUAUAUUCAAUACUCUAGACAUUUAUUUUUAACUUAGUGUCAGUUAGUGUCAGUUACAAAUAUAUGUUGUUGCUCAGACAGGGCCUAAGCCAAGCCGACAGAGGUGGUUCUCUAGAGAGAACCAAUAUUGCUUUGAUCAUUUUUCAGGUGUACCUGCAAAGAAGAGAAAGUUAGUAAACAAAUGAGCACAGAGGCGCUGCUUUUAUAGAGGCCGUAUGCAAAUGAGACUAUGCCAUUGCCUGCUUCUGAUUGGCUCUAGUAGGGGGAUCAAAGUCAUUGCUGGCUCUGAUGUCACUCUGUGACAUGUGGUUGAGUUCUUUAAUACAUAUCACUGGAUUGGAUAUCACAUGACUGUCACAUGACACGGGUGCAUUGUUGCUGUGCAACAACUCAGGACUGCUGCAGUAGCAGCGUCAGAAGUACACAAAACUGAUUCUUUAUGAAACUAGGUUGUUCACGGUGUGUGUCUGGAACUAUUACUUGUUAGACCAAAUAUCACUUAUACCUUAACAUGCCAUAAAACCAAAUAUAUUAUUCCACAUAUCAGUUCCAGUGUUUACAUAUCUCAGUUGAUACAAGUAUUAAUAAAAGGCAGUGACCUACCACCCUAAAGUCCAGACACUUAACAUAAAACCCCACACUUCAUUAAUUCUGCACACGGAUUCUGCUAUCGGGACUUUUAGAAGUGGUGGUUAGGCUGUGGUAAGUUCCUUUCGAAGGUUAAUGGGAGAUCUCUUUCAAAAGUUGUCCAUGUUUUGUACAAACCGCAAUCCCCCACAAAGAUACGUCAGUAGGUUGUCCGGACCAACCACAAUGUUUUACGUCAUCGUAAAACCAAUAUUCAGCCAAUCAGAUAGUGUGACGUCAUCAGCAGGCAUAGGGCCCCGAGCUGAUUCGACCACCCGAGCAGAUCUGGUACCAUCACUGUCUCUCACAUGAACAGUUAUAAAAUUUGGCCUAUAUUUUCAAUACUCUAGACAUUUAUUUUUAACUUAGUGUCAGUUACAAAUAUAUGUUGUUGCUCAGACAGGGCCUAAGCCAAGCCGACAGAGGUGGUUCUCUAGAGAGAACCAAUAUUGCUUUGAUCAUUUUUGAGGUGUACCUGCAAAGAAGAGAAAGUUAUUGAACAAAUGAGCACAGAGGCGCUGCUUUUAUAGAGGCCGUAUGCAAAUGAGACUAUGCCAUUGCCUGCUUCUGAUUGGCUCUAGUCAGGGGAUCAAAGUCAUUGCUGGCUCUGAUGUCACUCUGUGACAUGUGGUUGAGUUCUUUAAUACAUAUCACUGGAUUGGAUAUCACGUGACUGUCACAUGACACGGGUGCAUUGUUGCUAUGCAACCACUCAGGACUGCUGCAGAAGCAGAGUCAGAAGUACACAAAACUGAUUCUUUAUGAAACUAGGUUGUUUACGGUGUGUGUCUGGAACUAUUACUUGUUAGACCAAAUAUCACUUAUACCUUAACAUGCCAUAAAACCAAAUAUAUUAUUCCACAUAUCAGUUCCAGUGUUUACAUAUCUCCGUUGAUAGAAAUAUUAAUAAAAGGCAGUAACCUACCACCCUAAAGUCCAAACACUUAACAUAAAACCCCACACUUCAUUAAUUCUGCACACGGAUUCUGCUAUCGGGACUUUUAGAAGUGGUGGUUAGGCUGUGUUAAGUUCCUUUCGAAGGUUAACGGGAGAUCUCUUUCAAAAGUUGUCCAUGUUUUGUACAAACCGCAAUCCCCCACAAAGAUACGUCAGUAGGUUCUCCGGACCAACCACAAUGUUUUACGUCUUCGUAAAACCAAUAUUCAGCCAAUCAGAUAGUGUGACGUCAUCAGCAGGCAUAGGGCCCCGAGCAGAUUCGACCACCCGAGCAGAUCUGGUACCUUCACUGUCUCUCACAUGAACAGUUAUAAAAUUUAGCCCAUAUAUUCAAUACUCUAGACAUUUAUUUUUAACUUAGUGUCAGUUAGUGUCAGUUACAAAUAUAUGUUGUUGCUCAGACAGGGCCUAAGCCAAGCCGACAGAGGUGGUUCUCUAGAGAGAACCAAUAUUGCUUUGAUCAUUUUUGAGGUGUACCUGCAAAGAAGAGAAAGUUAGUAAACAAAUGAGCACAGAGGCGCUGCUUUUAUAGAGGCCGUAUGCAAAUGAGACUAUGCCAUUGCCUGCUUCUGAUUGGCUCUAGUCGGGGGAUCAAAGUCAUUGCUGGCUCUGAUGUCACUCUGUGACAUGUGGUUGAGUUCUUUAAUACAUAUCACUGGAUUGGAUAUCACAUGACUGUCACAUGACACGGGUGCAUUGUU